UAAGGCUGGAGUAAUGCCACCUGGUGUACGUCACUGCUGGGACCGCACCUAUGAGUGCGCGUGUAUAGAUGCGCGUGGAAUGGCCAUUUGAUGCGUUGUGUUGGGUUGCAGGCUGUCUACUACAUGUCAGCUGUGAAAUUCUUCGGUGAAGGUGUCUUCCUGCAUGAGCUUCUAUGCUGGUUAUGAGUUGAGAGCAACAGUACAAUUCGUGCGGCACAACGAUCCGUUUCGUGCACUAAGGUUUUUCUCUGACGCUGCGCUGGUUAGUCGCGGGAGAAGGCGGAAGUGUCUACACUCGGCAUUAAAGGAGGACGGCGCUGCUGUUUUCUUUUGAU